GGACAGGUUCCCCUCAGGGACGGGUUCCCCUUGUGGACGGGUUCCCCUCGGGGGACGGGUUACCCUCCGGGGAUGGGUUCCCCUUGGGGGAUGGGUUACCCUCCGGGGAUGGGUUCCCCUCUGGAAAUGGGUUACCCUGAGGGUAUGGGUUACCCUCCGGGGACAGGUUACCCUCUGGGGACAGGUUACCCUCAGGGGACGAGUUCCCCUCCGGAGAUGGGUUCCCCUCUGGGUACGGGUUACCCUCUGGGAACAGGUUACCCUCGGGGGAUGGGUUACCCUCGGGAGAUGGGUUACUUCGGGGGAUGGGUUACCCUCGGGGGACGGGUUACCCCUCAGAGAUGGGCUAGGGUGCUGAAGAUUCUCCGUCACUUCUCUCGUGGAGACGCUUCCUCACCUUUCUCUGAAAUCUGAGUCUGUCUUUCUGUCCGACAGUGGAGCACGAUGGAUGCGACACUAUGCUGGUUCUGGGCCUGAUAGUUUCUUCUUUCAUGCUUUUGGGAGCCCUGAGCUCCCGUGUGGAAAGUCCAGCUCCCCUGAUGGAGACACAGCUGGGAAGACCCAGAGUCAGAGAGGCCCUGAGAGAGUCCUGCUGACCAACUCUACACACACAGGUUUCCGUCACUGGAACCGAUGGGACGCAUCACACUGACUCUAUUUCUUGGCUUUAAAUGGCUUACGCAGCGUUGUUCUAUCUCAGAGGCUCCAUCCUCACGGGAAAGGAAAGAAAAGGGGGAGAAAAAGACCUCGCGGUACCAUUGUCGUUCUUCUUUGCUGAUCAGCAGUUAUCACGUACCCUAGCUUGGGGAUUUUACAUCCCAGAGAGAACCUCCUUUUCCCAGUUCCUCC
ensembl:lncRNA